ACGUAUCCUAGUCUAAAACAUGGACCGCCUAUCUGGACCAGACGAUUCCUCUCUAUAUUAACCUAGAUCCCUUGGACGGCUUGUUAUUUCCCUGUUCUUCGAAUCUCAGAGCAAGUCUCUCUCUGGAAUGGAAACUAUUCAAUCAAACUACAUGGAUUCGCCAUCUGAACCUCCAUCCGAAUCGCAGCAGUACCCAAGUUUUCAGAAUUAUUUUUACUCUUAUCCCGAAAACCCAUCGGAUUCACAUCCCGAAACUCAAUUACAAAAAACCCUAGAUUCAACAAAUCUGGAAGAAAAUGCACCCAAUCCAACUAUUGAAGAUAUAGCUCCGAAAGGAAGUGCGUCAAAACUCGAGAUGCCGAAUAUUUUGAUUUCAGAAAACGGGUUGACCAAUAGCACCGACAGGGAUUUUUCCGGAGGCGAAGAGGAGACGACCAGCAGGAAGCGACGGAGGUCCCGGUGGGAUCCUCCGCCGAGCGAAUCGAGCAACGAUGGGGUUGGAACUGGAGGAGCUGAUAAUAAUAGUGGGACUGGUGGGAGGAAGCGGAAGUCCAGAUGGGCUGAUGACGAACCCAAGCCUGUGAUUCAAUUGCCCGAUUUCAUGAAGGAUUUUACUGGAGGUAUUGAAUUUGAUCCCGAGAUUCAAGCUCUGAAUAGUAGGUUACUUGAAAUUAGUAGGAAAUUGCAAUCUGGGUUGCCUUUGGAUGACCGACCUGAGGGUGCUAGGUCGCCUUCUCCGGAACCUAUUUAUGAUAACAUGGGAAUCAGAAUUAAUACUAGGGAGUAUCGUGCUCGUGAAAAAUUGAAUAGGGAGAGACAAGAAAUUAUAUCACAGAUAAUUAAGAAAAAUCCAGCCUUUAAGCCACCUGCGGAUUAUAGGCCGCCUAAGCUUCAGAAGAAGCUUUACAUCCCAAUGAAAGAGUAUCCAGGUUAUAAUUUUAUUGGACUGAUUAUUGGACCAAGAGGAAACACUCAGAAGAGGAUGGAAAGAGAGACGGGGGCAAAGAUUGUGAUUAGGGGUAAAGGUUCAAUGAAAGAAGGUAGGCUGCAGCAGAAUAGGAAUUUGAAGCCUGACCCUUCAGAAAACGAGGAUUUGCAUGUCUUGGUGGAGGCUGAAACUCAGGAGGCUCUAGAUGCUGCCGCAGGUAUGGUUGAGAAGCUCUUACAGCCGGUUGAUGAGGUUCUCAAUGAACAUAAAAGACAACAGCUUAAGGAGCUCGCCUCAUUGAAUGGUACUAUUAGGGAUGAGGAGUAUUGUAGGUUGUGUGGUGAGCCGGGGCAUCGGCAGUAUGCAUGUCCUUCUCGUACUUCAACAUUUAAGAGUGAUGUUUUAUGUAAGAUAUGUGGUGAUGGUGGGCAUCCUACAAUUGACUGCCCAGUGAAGAAUACUACAGGCAAGAAAAUGGAUGAUGAGUAUCAGAACUUCUUGGCAGAACUGGGAGGCACUAUUCCUGAGUCUGCAACCAAGCAGAACUCUGCAACACUUGCCCUUGGACCUGGCAGUUCAGGUACCAAUCCUCCUUGGGCCAGGAGUAAUAACACUACACAAGCUGGUUUGGGGUCUAGCAUAAUCAAGCCAAAGGAAUAUGAUGAGACAAAUUUGUAUAUUGGAUAUCUGCCACCUACAAUGGAUGAUGAUGGUCUGAUCAGCUUGUUCUCUCCCUUUGGUGAAAUUGUAAUGGCUAAGGUUAUCAAGGACCGCUUAUCUGGUCUGAGUAAAGGAUAUGGAUUUGUUAAAUAUGCCGAUGUCCAACAAGCUAAUAAUGCCAUUGUCAGUAUGAAUGGCCACAGACUAGAUGGAAGAACAAUUGCAGUGAGAGUUGCCGGUAAACCUCCUCAGCCUACUGUGCCCCCAGGCCCUCCUGCUCCAGCAAUGCCAACGUAUCCUCCAAAUCAGCCUCCUGGUGCCUACCCAUCUCAGCAGUAUAAUACCGGUGGUCCAAUUGGUAGUGCACCACCAGGGAGCUAUACUGGGGCUUCAGUUCCAUGGGGACCACCUGUGACUCUGCCUUAUUCAUCUUAUCCUCCACCUCCUCCGGGUUCAACCCUGUAUCCUCCACCACCACCUCCAUAUGGGAUGCAUUAUCCUCCACCAAUGCCGCCAGCAUCUUCUGGUAUCCCAUCACAGACCGUUUCUCAUGAUGCUCAACAAAAUUAUGCGUCUUCUGGGGAGUCACAGCAAAGUUAUCCACCUGGAGUGCAAUCUCAGAGUAGUGCACCUGCUCAAUCUGCUCCGACCUAUGUCUACGGAAAUUCUGUGACAUCUGUGUCACCAAAUGCCCAAGCUGUGUAUCCAAUGCCUUCAUACGGUUACCCAUCUUAUUACGGUUCAGUUCCCCCUCCCCCUCCCCCUCCUGCUGCUGUGCCUCAGCCAACUGUUGAUCCUUCACAAAGUUUGAAUAAUGUUCCUUGGGCCUCAAAUCCACCUGUACCUCCACCUUCAUCAUCCGCGGAGAAGAGCAACUAUAGUACAGAUGCAGAAUAUGAGAAGUUCAUGGCGGAAAUGAAAUGAUGAUGCAACCUUCUGGGAUGGCCUUUUCGACUGAAUGGUAAACAUGCUGGAUUUAUUUCCUUAUAUGUCUUGCAUUACAAGAAGAUAUAAUAGUAUUUACAAGGGCAAGGGGCAAGAAUUGUCUCCAAGUCCGUCAAAUUGUAAUCACAUACCAUCCAACACCCGUUGAUGUAGAGUUAUGUUCAUGUGGAAAUGCAUGGAUGGGGAUUACAAUGAGGGAAUUAGAGAGACAAGAAAAUUGAACCAAGUAAAUCUCACAUCUUUUUACCGUGAUGGUCGAAUAUGCUGUGAGUUUAAAACGUGUUCAUCGGCCAAUAAUGUGCGAAGAGCACAAUAAGUUUGCUUCUCUAGCAAGAGAAAAGAACAAAAUUUACUGCAACCUUUCACUUUUUACCUUUUUUUUAUUUUUUUAUUUUUUUCUCCAUUUUGCGUGUGAGAGUUUCGGUGAGAGGGAGUUGAAAUUUCAGAACACCUAUGGAGUAACCUUGUUUUGUCAAGCCAUUCUUCAUGAUGAGCUUACUUUUUCUUUUCAGUUUUCACAUAUUAACUGGGAACAUAGUAAAAUGAGGAUGUUAAAAUAUUAGUAGGAUGACUUAAGUAGUUGCUACAGUCGUGAGUGGAUCUAAAGAAGUCCCUAGAUACAAGAAUGAUGCGGUCCUAGUAGACCGUGUUAGAAGAUCCAGAGGUAGAUUGGUCUGGUUGCAAAAAGAUUUAAUUGUACACUAGAUGUAUUGAUGCACGAUAACGUAACUAACUCCAGAUUUGAUAAUUAGGCUUAGUUUGUAGAAUUGUAGUUUUCCGAUUUUUGGGGUGAGUAGGUGUCCAAUUGAGGACAUUAUAAUUCUACUAGAGUAUGCUCCCUGGUUUCCAAAAUGAUAGGUUUGACUCUAACCAGUGACAUGGGGCAUGUACGGGCAAGAGGUUAUAGAAUCUAUAUUUUCUUGGAGAGAUGUUCUCUAUUGAAACCGUGUAUAUAUGCCUCUGGCUGUAGCUUGACUCUUAAGUUCACCCUGGACUCUGGCAAUUUCCGUUUGUUACUGAUUCGUUUUAAUUAUCACGUCUCAAACUUCUUAUUCAACUGAACUUGAAAGUUGCAUGUAUUUAUUCUCUCUUAUAUCCAUAGUUUAACAAAGUUUCUAUUUUGUCUGCGUGGAGAUAAGAACAUAAUUCAGUACAACUACAGCACUAUGACGAUUAUAUUUUGGUUUUGUCUCAUUUUAAUUGUUGUUUAAGUUGUGCAGAUAGGCAUUUUCUGACUGGGUACAACUAUCUGUGUUGCCAGUCCGCCUUCUCUCCCAUUAACUGGACUUGGGCUUUCUUUAGUCUCAUAUUGCUGUUUGAUAAUAUACGUACAUGCAUAUUUUCACUUUUGGUGCAAGACUGCUUAAUUAUUAUCCCAUGAAUCAUAACGCUUGUUUCUUUGUCGUGAUUGUAAUAUUUUGACAGGCUGUUUGUUGGAGCAAUUGUCUUCCUGAUUUGUUAUCUCUUGCCAUGACUUACUUGUUGGAAGUUUGGGACUCACAUCUUUAACAUUGCUGUACUGUUAUGACCUUUGCAGAGAGUUGCCACAAAGUUCAGUUCAUCCAGCCUUGUGUUACAGUACUCAUUCAGAGUGUUACUGCUAUUGGUUAUUCCUUUUGUAGGACUAUCUUCUGUCUUUUGGAGGAUUAUUUUCACUUCAGAGCAUCUGGACUUCUCAGAUUUGAUUUCUAUUUUAUGUUUGAACUUCUUAAUAAUUGGUUACUGUCCUUGUGUGUGUUUCUAUCUAACGAUUACUCAGGUGGCUAUGUGCUUUGUUUUCUGCUUCUAAUUUUCUCUCACUUUCAGUUUAUUGCUCUUUUUAAGUUUGACAAUUCCACGUUAUUGUAGUUCAUUUCUGUGAAAGCAGGUUAAUGCUAGACUCUACAAAUCAUUGCUGGAAGGUCCAUGCAUCUUAAAUAGUGAGGUUACCUGGGUGCAUGUAUGGCAGGGAAAGUGUCAUUAUGCCAGAUUAAAUGUUGUGUUCUUGAGCCGUUCUUUUGACGUGAAUAGGUUGUGCUAUUCUUAGGUCUUCUAUUAAUUAACAGAAUCCAGGAGUGAAUUAAUUUGGUUGUGGUGUUGUAUGGUUUUGAAUGAGUAAUUGCAGGAAGAAUAUAUGUGGUACAAAUGGAGUGGUUAAUAGAUUUAGUUUGGAGCAUAGAAGUCUGAAAGGAAUGAUGUUUUUAUUUGUAUAUGAAUGUUAGUUAAACUAGUGAAUUGCUUUGGGUUACGUAAACAUGAAGCUCAAUUAGCUGGUGUCAAAAACAUAGUGAAUGGAUUGUAGAAAGAUAUUAUUCGCUUCGAAGCACUUAUUUACAAGUAUCUAGAUACCUCUUUUGA